rfam:Gossypium raimondii chromosome 1, whole genome shotgun sequence.
CUCAAGAAAGCGCUUUGUCCACUGGAUAGAAAACGCGUCCUUGAGGGCGCGCUUUCUGUUUACGUGGAUAAAGCACUUCCUUGAGG